UAAUAUCCUCCUAGCUUUUACUAGUCUCACCAGGGAAACAAAAGAAGUCCUAUUUUAAACUAAGGAAGGAAAAAAAAAAAGCACUAAAAUCUGCACGGGAAACGGCCCAAAUGCACAGCAUUUGGAUAAAAGGCUUUCAGAUCUACAGGCAGAGGUCUGGCUGGGGAGCAGCAGAACCAGACGCUCUUCAUCACUGCCCUGGAGCGACAGUCAACCUUCACCCACAGCAGCACAUGUGUCAGCGCGCUGCCAGCCCCACCAGACAGACUGACCCGCUUGGAUUAACCAGUUUAAACUGCGUAUUUGAAAUAAACCGCAGGAACUUUCCUGGGGGGAUCAGCAAGUCCCCGCAGCGCCUGCCCUGACCUGACAGCAGAUCUGAGGGCAUCCCUGGCAUCGCAGCCACGACAAACAGCUGAGGUCACGUCUUCACUGGGCACUGACUGAAAAUGCAACAGAGGGGGUAGCACUCUGCAGGGAACAGUGCCAGCCAGAGGCUUCCAUUCCCACUCCAGCUGUCACUGCCAUGCCAGAGGUCAUCGCACUCCAAUCCGGCUGCUAACACAAGCUCUUCCCCAGCUGGCCACUGAAUGAACAAAAAUGGGGAGCUGCACCAUGGGAUGGGAGGAAGUGGCACACUCUGUCAAGGCAGCAAGGACAACCCACUGACAGAGGCCCAGAGGAGCUGUGGCAUCCUGGAGCUGAGUCCACCCACAGCCCAAGAACUGCCUGUUUUCACUUUAAGACAGUUUUACAAUCUGGACUGGACUGGGAUUUAUGUGUAUUUUAUGUGACCUACACCACCCACUGUGUCUCAGAGGAGACGACAAAUCCUGCCAUGAGUGGUUUACAGCCUCAGAGCAACUGCAGAUGCCCAAAGCCCGGGGUGAAGGCUGCUCUUCUCUUUCUUUUUGUGACUCUUCCCAUAGCUGGCCAGAUCACUUCGUGGUUUCUGUAUCCCUUCCCUGCUUUGGGGCAACAUCAGCUUCUCUGUACAGAUUGAACAGGCUUCACACACUUUCUCUGGAGCCCGGAGCAGCUUUAUGAAUUUCAGAGCUGUGGUCUGUAAAGGUGAAUCUAAGGGAUUUAGGAACACAGCUCCCAAGAGCAUUACUUCUCCAGCCCAGGACUGGACCUGCAGACUGAUGACCACUCUGCCUGCACACAGAGGCACACCGCAGCCUGCUGACACCUUGCUCCUCUGUAGCUGCCAUUAGUGCACACUGGAAAAAAAACAGCAUUGAAGAAAAGGUGUGUAAGAGUGGAACGGGGCACAUGGAAUAACAUUUGGGAUCAUCCAAGGAAGAUCAACAGGAUUGAGGGAAGAUGGCAAGGGAUAGCACUUGGGCAAGACCUCUGAUCUGCAGGAACAACCGCUCCCUCAUGUGCUGCGAUCAGGUCCUGCGAGGACGCACUACUUCCCAAGGAACAUCUGCCUUCUCCUGCUCCCCUCUGUGGUUUAAUUAAAGCAUUUUAGCAUUUUCUGCUCUGCAGCUUCACACUGUAGGAGCUCCAUCAGCUCCAAGAUCUUGCCUUAAGGAGUGCAGCCAUUUCAGGUGUUUGCCCAGGUACCAAGGCCCACCCCUCAUUUAUUUCUACCAGCCUAAACAUGCUUUAACCCACAUAACCUCCUUAAUGAAGCUGCACAUUCUUAGCAAACCCAGCUCUUUCAAGACUACGCUGGUACCUUAUCUUUCCACUUAUCUUGUUUUCUGACAGGGCCCCAGUCCUGCCUGCAAAUGUGUUUGUUUACACCAGAGAUGCUGGUCCCCAGCAGACUGCUCAGUCCUGCCUCAAAACAGCCGCUGCAAAGGUGCAGCCCGGGGAGAUGGAUGGGCUUUCGCCGCUGGCAAACAGUUCCUGGGCUCACCCAGGCCAUGCCGCCAUCAGCACCACACUCUUUCCCACCCUUUCCUUCGGUGUAGGCAGGUCAGUCAUGAUAGGUUUAUCAACACAAAGUAAAAGCUGAACUGUAGCCACCACAGUAACACAGAUAUAAGCCUAACAAGUGGCUUUCAUCAGUCAUCAACGUCUUGCUUGCAGCUUGUCCCCACCAGCAGGUGGAGACAGGUCAGCAAGUCUCCACCUGAGGUCCUCCUUUCUGAAAGGUUUCUCUUCCCUCCCAGAGGUUGAUCUGUAGCAGGAGCCUCCUGCAGAAGCCCAACACCACAUCUGGGUAUUGUUAUGACUCCUGCAGGGGCCACCUCGCUUCCUCACACCUCCUCCUUUGCUACCAGCCUACACGGAAGUACUUGGGACCCAGGGAAGUGUUUGGAGGCAGAAGACACUCUGCUCCCGUGCAGCAGCAGAGCACUCAGGAACUCCAAGGAGAUCUGAAUUCUCUGAGGCAGGAGGAGCACCAAAGCAGCUGCAUGCCCUGUCCCUCCAAGGAUUCACCCAUGCUCCACAGCUCUGUGUAUACAAAUUAAAAUUAAACUUGUCUGAGACCAUUCUCUAGCAGACAACGCCCUGCACCCUCACUGUUGAUGUCUCAGCCUCCAAAGCAGAGUGGUUUCACCCAGGCUGCCCGCUGGGCCUGGCACAUGUUAAUUCCCAAAUCUUACCCCAGCCCUGCUUAGGACAGCAUCUUUGCCUCAGGCCAAAACCAGGCGGGGAACCACUGUGCUGGCAUGGAUGGCUGCCCAAGAAAUCUCCCUGAUGCUGUUCAGUUUGACAUAGGGUAUUUGUCCACCCAAAUUUACCUCCCUACUGGACUGUGAAGCCUACAGAGGUGAGGUUUGACCCUGAAUUUAGUGGGAUGAGUUCCUGUUAGUUCACUGUCCUUAACACAGAGAAAACAUUCCCACAGAGUUCUGUUACUUGUAGAUUUCUCAGAUUAACCUGGGUCUUAAAAAUCCAAUUUAAUCAACCACUGUGACCAAACCCACCCUCCAAUAAGACAUUUCUUUAUAUCUAACAGAGCCCACCUGGCUUUCUGCACAUUUGGAACAAGAGGUUUGCAGCUGACCUAGAAAGUACGUUAUUAACUUACACCUGGUUUUGUUUCUCCAGAGACUGGUCCCUGGGAACACACACACACCUUCCAGAGUAUAUCGGAGAGCAGCUCAUGGUGCCCUGUGGGCACUGCUCCAUCCCUGAGGUAGCUCCCUGCACCUAUAGCUUGGCUUUCAGAAGACGGAUUAUCAACCCUGCAGAAGGCAGGUACCUGUUAGGAAAGUCUGGUUUAUAAAGGUAUAAAGGUAAAGGCGAUUAAGGUCACUGAGGGAGCACAUUCUCCCUUGUGUCCAUGCAGCUUUCCAUUCUCUGUGCUCAUUGCACUUUGCAUAGGGCUGAGACAUUUUGCUGAAAAACUUCUGAGGGAAAUUAUUUUAAUAAACAGGUUUAAUUUUUAAUACAGAUGCUAAGAGGUUUGUGAUAUGCUGGGGGCAGGUAAACCGAUGGCAUGAAAUCUGAGAAAAAAUAUAUAUAAACCAAAUACCCCCUGGUGUUACAGAGGGGGAAGAGGAGUGAUUUUCAGUAGGAUUUAGGCAAAACCUUCAAUUAUGAAAAAAGCACCAAAUGACUAAUGCUGACUCAUGGUCUUGGCAAGAUGUAGGUAGGUUUCCUACUGUUAUUUAUAGUUGUGUUCUGGUCUGGUUAUGACAUGUUGUCAGUAGAGGAAUAGUUUGAAAUGAGUUAGCCUGGGGUCCAACAAUUCUGUGCCAUUCAGUGUCAUAUAAAAUACAGAUCUUAAUAUUUUUUUUAUUUCCUGCCAUAACUCAGAAUUCGCCCACUCGUUUUCCUCCUGCAGCCCCAUGUCAUCUCCAUAGUUUCUAUAAUUUGUCUUGCUAGCACUAGUGGUGGUCAAAUUAUGGGUUUGUAUAGCUGUUUUGUCCUGUCUCUUCCUAGCUACUUGCCCCAGGGAGGUCCUCUUCUUUAUCCCUGCCAGGAACAGGAAGAUUGUCCCAUUUAGUCUUGCAAUUCCACAACCCUAGAACCAAGUUUCAGGACUGUUUGUUUGGAAAGCAGACACUUCAGCUUGCAUUUAUAAAAGUAGUCAAGUACUUCAGGAGCUACUUUUGCGCCUAGAUUUUUUAAAGGAAUUGAGUGCUUACAUAGCCUUAAGGAUCUGUGGCCCUUACCCAACAUAAAAGGGCAGCUGUUUCGGCAUUAUAGGAUACCCAAUGUGCAUAAGGAAGCUUAAUAAAGAGUACUGGUAUGUUUCACUUCAUCUUAAACAGCAUAGUAAGAUAUUAAUAUGAGAGUAAAUUAGUUAAAAGAGAGAAGAAGAGAUAAAGAGGGAAUUAUAUAUUAAAGUACAAUAUUAUAUAGUGAAUUUAAUCUAACAAGAAUACAGAGAAAGGGCUCCAAAGCUGUGCCUAGACUUAGGAGCAAUGGAUGCUCUGACCUGCACGAUACCCAGCCAAAGCAAUUCCCUUUUGGCCAAGGUGCCUGGGCUUCCUCCCCUUGGGAGCGGGGGGAAGAGGGCCGGGGAGGUGGUGUCAUUUACUGCAGAGAGUAAAAAACUAGAACUGGAAGCUGCUUAGGAGUUGCAGCACAAAUCUUGGUACGACAGGAAAAUAAGGGGAAAAUCAGUGAAAUUGAAGGCAAGCCAGUUGCAAGGGCAGGUUUGGAAGAGCAGAGGAGGGUGACACCAUUAGCUAACCUACAAACUCCUUGUCAAUAGGUAUCCUUGAGAUUUAGGAUCCAAUCCAUUACUGGAUAGGUAAGCAGGUAAUGACAAUGUCUGACACAUUUUAGACAGGAUUGAACAAUUGCUAGAGGUAUAAACCACUAUGCUUCAGAACCCAGUCCCUCACCAAAUACUCAAGAGGCAGAAUUCAAGAUUAUUUCAUAUUUGUCCUUUAAGAUGCUUCUUAAACCUUCUGAAACAGCUGGUACUGGCUGCUCUAAAAACAAGAUACUGCAAAUCCAUGCAUUGGGUUGGAUUUUAAUCUCUAUUUGAGAUUACAGGAACUCCCGUGAACUGAUUGAACAAAUCCUGAUCCAAUAUUUAAGGCAAACAAUAUCUUAGAUAAAAAGGCAGGCAGAACAGCCUGUUUUCUGUCAAAAACAGUGGUGGACUACAGCAUCAGGGGAUAUCAUUUUGCCAGAUACAGAUGCCAGAUACAGAUGUGGAAACCGUGGUGGUUUUAUCUGCACAAAACCCAUUUAGCUCUAAUCCAUCGUCAAAUGAAAAAAGGUCUAUUUGCUCUGCCACAGCGGGGGCAAACAGGAGUCAUCGACUGAUUGAUUCAGUUAAGCCUGGUGGCUUCAAAUAGGUGCUUUUCUGUGUUUGGCAAUCGGUUUCAAGGUCAUUUAGCGACUGAGAGUGUCAUGUAGAGAAGAUAAAGAGUUCAGCCCAAUAGCAGGGAAGGCAGUAUCUUUCUCUUGGCAGUAGAUUAACCAAGAAAAUGCUGAUACAAGGCGAUGACACACUGCCCUCCUGAAUAUGCAGAUGAGCCUACAUCAUGUUUAGAUAUCGAAAGUGCAGUGCUGUUAUCAGAAACACCUGGCCCCAUCAUUUCAGAAAUUUAGGUAAAUUAAGGUCAUGUAGCCACCGAAAGGAAAGGCCAGGGCAAAAUCUAUUAACAAUAAAAUAUGUCUAGUAUAUUGUGGGCAAUUUCAGCUGAGUCACUUGGACAAUAAUGGAGUAAAUCCCAGCAUUGUGAAGAGCAAUCCAACCUACAUAUUUUGGAACUAUUUCAGCUUGCUUAGCACUUUCUACGACACAUUAAGCAGGAUGGCCUUUCACCAUUUUGCUACAUGAAUCUUCUGCUUGUGUGGUUUCUGUCUGUUCCUAGAGCAUAAACUUUAAGUCUUAAAUGUUGCAUUUAUGCUAUAGUCUAUUUCCCCGGGUUUUUCAUGCAAGAUUUCAUAAUUAUGGUGGUAUUUAACAUUUUAAAGUUCAGGUAUUUAUAACUAACUGCACAGAGUCUUAUUACUUCUAUGGUUUAUAAACUUAGUUCCUCUAGCUCCUAGUUACAUUGCCCAGAGGGUAAAACGCUAGAGAUAAAUUAAACCUUUACCUUUACGGCAUGCUAACUCGCUCCGUUGGAGAAAGUCUAGCUACAUGUGCUGCUGACUGAUGAACCCUGCCAUAAUUUAGCUCCUUAUUGUAGGUCUGACCUUAUUAAACAUCAUGUAUUGUUUACAUUCUGCUGGAGAACAGUUCUCAUGUAAAGUCUUUAUAACUCAAUUGUCUUUCAGAUGAGAUUUAUUUGCUCCUCAUUUUGGAAACACAAUCCCCACAUAAAUUAGAUCUACCUGGAUCCUGAUUAAAUUAUAACAAAUGUUAGCAUACAGUUUCUCUCAUUUUCUUUUAAUGAUCAAUGUCAUAGAGAAAAAAUAUUUUAGGUAAUUGCUUUUACUCAUA